CCUACGGGGUGCUGCAGUGGGGAAUAUUGCACAAUGGGGGAAACCCUGAUGCAGCGACGCCGCGUGAGUGAUGAAGUAUUUCGGUAUGUAAAGCUCUAUCAGCAGGGAAGAAAAUGACGGUACCUGACUAAGAAGCCCCGGCUAACUACGUGCCAGCAGCCGCGGUAAUACGUAGGGGGCAAGCGUUAUCCGGCUUUACUGGGUGUAAAGGGAGCGUAGACGGCGGGGCAAGUCUGAAGUGAAAGGCGGGGGCUCAACCCCAGGACUGCUCUGGAAACUGUCAGGCUAGAGUGUAGGAGAGGUAAGUGGAAUUCCUAGUGUAGCGGUGAAAUGCGUAGAUAUUAGGAGGAACACCAGUGGCGAAGGCGGCCUACUGGACGGUAACUGACGUUGAGGCUCGAAAGCGUGGGGAGCAAACAGGAUUAGAUACCCUUGUAGUC
rnacentral:rRNA from 1 species